rnacentral:rRNA from 1 species
UACGUAGGGUGCAAGCGUUAAUCGGAAUUACUGGGCGUAAAGCGUGCGCAGGCGGUUGGGCAAGACAGAUGUGAAAUCCCCGGGCUUAACCUGGGAAUUGCAUUUGUGACUGCACGGCUAGAGUGUGGCAGAGGGGGGUAGAAUUCCACGUGUAGCAGUGAAAUGCGUAGAUAUGUGGAGGAAUACCGAUGGCGAAGGCAGCCCCCUGGGAUAACACUGACGCUCAUGCACGAAAGCGUGGGGAGCAAACAGG